GUAUAAUUGUUUCAUCUUUUUUCACAGUAAAAGUGAGUUUACAUUAGGGAGCAUGAGCAAACUAAUAAACCAGGGAACGAAUGUAGGUUACAUACUACACCACAGCCUUCCCUACUUACCUUUCCUUCACAAGCAGUAGCAGUAGGUCCAAGACGAAUGAAGAAUAAUCGCUCAGUGAGGUGAGGAGCACAUAGUGGUCUCCAACAAUGACAUUUCACUGGAAAAAGAAAUAGGAGGUCAAAUUUAUUUCAAUAUAUUUGGACUGUGAGGGAACAGGGAGAAUGUGCCAACUCCACACAGAAAGACCUGGGUCACUCCAUGGAAUGGUGGUUUAGAUAGGUGCAGCACAGCAGUCUCCAAAAAGGAUGGUGUGCAGCAGAUCAAAUGAAAAAAAGGAAGAUGAACACAGCUCACUGGAGACAAAGAAAAUUAACAGCCCUAUUCAUCUGGCAGCAUGUUCCCUAAAACGGCUUCAUCCCAGGGAGAGGAGGCUUGGGACGCUGACAGCGAGCACACCACACAUUUUCAAGAUCAGUUCAUGUUCACAGUUUAUUAUUGUUACAAUAAAGGUUUUUGCAUCAUCA